UUGCUCUACUGAUUUUCCCUUCUUCUUUCUUACCAUUGAUCUCUUUCGCCCUCUAUUUCUUGGUUUGGAUUUGCAAUUUCUUCAUUCUGGUCGUUGCUUUCACGAUUCUACUGCAUUUGUCUCCCUGUUGAGGGUUCUCUUUUGUUUCUUUCUUUAUUGCUACCUUUUGUUGCUUAGGGAGUUUGAUGGUGUUUUGUUAGUAGUCCCCUUCUUUUGGGGGUUAUUUUGUUGCUUAGUUCUGUCAAUGUAUGUUAAUAUUUGUGCCUCAUUUUCACAGGGAUGUCAUUAUCUAGCAGAACUGGAUGUCACAUUGAUAGUGAUCUUUGGGUUGUUCUUGUGGAGAAAAUUCACCUUGCGAAUCCUUAAAAGUUAAUGAUACACAGGGUAUCGUUGUUUUCGCUUCUGUCAUGGAGACUUCAGGACUGCAAAUAGUUAUGGAGUCUAUGCAUACACUAAUAUAGGAUUAUGUAUCAAUCAUUUAGGUGAGGCGCAUGGUAUUAUGAAGGAGAAGAAUGGUGGAAGGAUUCCCAUUUCCUAUUUUUUCUAUACGUUGUCAUUGUACAUUCAUCAAGAGUUCACCUUCCAAGGUGCCGAUGAAGUUUUUUCCGUUGGCAUCAAGUGGAAGUGGACACUGUUGAUGUAUGUACUCAUUUUAGAUGAAACUCUGAAAUAUGUAGAGCUAAUAUGUGUUUUAUUUAUAGCAUUAGAUGUGCGCUGAUAAGCUGGUAAGAGCGAUUUUAUUUUUCGGCGAACCUUAUUGAAUGUUUGGAAGUCCACAAUUUUUGUCAAAGUAUUGUUAUCUUGUGUAGAAGAGGAUGUUUAGAAGGGGAGAGAAGAAGAUAUUAUUUCAACAUUAGAAGUUAUGAAUAGUACCUAUUCUGUUUUGGUAGUA